rnacentral:rRNA from 1 species
GAACGAACGCKGGCGGCAGGCCUAACMCAUGCAAKUCGAGCGCGCCCUUCGGGGUGAGCGGCGGACGGGUUAGUAACGCGUGGGAAUAUACCCUUUGGUACGGAAUAGCCUCUGGAAACGGAGAGUAAUACCGUAUGUGCCCUUCGGGGGAAAGAUUUAUCGCCAAAGGAUUAGCCCGCGUUAGAUUAGGUAGUUGGUGGGGUAAUGGCCUACCAAGCCUACGAUCUAUAGCUGGUUUUAGAGGAUGAUCAGCAACACUGGGACUGAGACACGGCCCAGACUCCUACGGGAGGCAGCAGUGGGGAAUCUUGGACAAUGGGGGCAACCCUGAUCCAGCCAUGCCGCGUGAGUGAUGAAGGCCUUAGGGUCGUAAAGCUCUUUCRCCUGUGAAGAUAAUGACGGUAGCAGGUAAAGAAACCCCGGCUAACUCCGUGCCAGCAGCCGCGGUAAUACGGAGGGGGUUAGCGUUGUUCGGAAUUACUGGGCGUAAAGCGCACGUAGGCGGAUCGGUAAGUYAGGGGUGAAAUCCCGGGGCUCAACCCCGGAACUGCCUCCAAAACUAUCGGUCUAGAGUUCGAGAGAGGUGAGUGGAAUUCCGAGUGUAGAGGUGAAAUUCGUAGAUAUUCGGAGGAACACCAGUGGCGAAGGCGGCUCACUGCUCGA